GAUGAACGCUGGCGGCGUGCCUAAUACAUGCAAGUCGAGCGAACAGACGAGGAGCUUGCUCCUCUGAUGUUAGCGGCGGACGGGUGAGUAACACGUGGAUAACCUACCUAUAAGACUGGGAUAACUUCGGGAAACCGGAGCUAAUACCGGAUAACAUGUUGAACCGCAUGGUUCAACAGUGAAAGACGGUCUUGCUGUCACUUAUAGAUGGAUCCGCGCCGCAUUAGCUAGUUGGUAAGGUAACGGCUUACCAAGGCAACGAUGCGUAGCCGACCUGAGAGGGUGAUCGGCCACACUGGAACUGAGACACGGUCCAGACUCCUACGGGAGGCAGCAGUAGGGAACCUUCCGCAAUGGGCGAAAGCCUGACGGAGCAACGCCGCGUGAGUGAAGAAGGUCUUCGGAUCGUAAAACUCUGUUAUUAGGGAAGAACAAAUGUGUAAGUAACUAUGCACGUCUUGACGGUACCUAAUCAGAAAGCCACGGCUAACUACGUG
rnacentral:rRNA from 1 species